UACGAGAGGCCCAAACGUUAUUUGGAUUUACUGGGCUUAAAGAGUUCGUAGGCGGCUCGGAAAGUAGGGUGUGAAAGCCCUCGGCUCAACCGAGGAAUUGCGCUCUAAACUGCCGCGCUCGAGGAACCUAGAGGUGAGCAGAACUGAUGGUGGAGCGGUGAAAUGCGUUGAUAUCAUCAGGAAUACCGGAGGCGAAGGCGGCUCACUGGGGGUUAUCUGACGCUGAGGAACGAAAGCCAGGGGAGCAAACGGG
rnacentral:rRNA from 1 species